AAAAAACCCACUGACCCUUCCUCAGCCCCAACCAGAGAUGCGGAAGGGUGCGUGCUGUCCCCGAAAAUCCUGGCUGGCUGUCUCUCGACCAUGUGGCUUUCCUCACCCAGGUGCUGUGAAUGCAGGAAUGGAAAAGACAGACCUGGCCCCUGCUCUCAUGAAGGUUUCACUCCAGAGGACCAGACAAAUAAACACCUUUUUAAAAUACCAUGCUGACAGUAUGGUGGUUUCUCAAAAAGUUGAACAUAGAAUGACCGUAUGAUCCAGCAAUUCCGCUUCUAGGUAUAGACCCAAAAGAAUUGAAAGCAGAGAUUCAAACAUGUUUGUGCACCCAUGUUCAUAGCAGCGUUU
rnacentral:lncRNA from 1 species